UACGUAGGGGGCAAGCGUUGUCCGGAAUCAUUGGGCGUAAAGAGCGUGUAGGCGGCUUGGUAAGUCCGCUGUGAAAGUCCAGGGCUCAACCCUGGAAUGCCGGUGGAAACUGUCAAGCUUGAGUCCGGAAGAGGCGAGUGGAAUUCCUGGUGUAGCGGUGAAAUGCGCAGAUAUCAGGAGGAACACCAAUGGCGAAGGCAGCUCGCUGGGACGGUACUGACGCUGAGACGCGAAAGCGUGGGGGAGCAAACAGG
rnacentral:rRNA from 1 species